UGGGGAAUAUUGGACAAUGGGCGCAAGCCUGACCCAGCAACGCCGCGUGAAGGAUGAAAUCUUUCGGGAUGUAAACUUCGGAAGAAUAGGAAGAAUAAAAUGACGGUACUAUUUUUAAGGUCCGGCUAACUACGUGCCAGCAGCCGCGGUAAUACGUAGGGACCAAGCGUUGUUCGGAUUUACUGGGCGUAAAGGGCGCGUAGGCGGCGUAAUAAGUCACUUGUGAAAUCUCCGGGCUUAACUCGGAGCGGCCUAGUGAUACUGUUAGGCUAGAGUGCAGAAAGGGCAAUCGGAAUUCUUGGUGUAGCGGUGAAAUGCGUAGAUAUCAAGAGGAACACCUGAGGCGAAGGCGGGUUGCUAGGCUGACACUGACGCUGAGGCGCGAAAGCUAGGGUAGCAAACGGGAUUAGAUACCCGCGUAGUCCCUGAGCGGGCUGGCAAGGCGCAU
rnacentral:rRNA from 1 species